rnacentral:rRNA from 1 species
GACAGAGGGUGCAAACGUUGUUCGGAAUUACUGGGCGUAAAGCGCGUGUAGGCGGCCCUGCAAGUCGGGUGUGAAAUCCCACGGCUCAACCGUGGAAGUGCACUCGAAACUGCAGGGCUAGAGUCCUGGAGAGGAAGGUGGAAUGCUUGGUGUAGAGGUGAAAUUCGUAGAUAUCAAGCGGAACACCGGUGGCGAAGGCGGCCUUCUGGACAGUGACUGACGCUGAGACGCGAAAGCUAGGGGAGCAAACAGG